UACGUAGGGGGCAAGCGUUGUCCGGAAUUAUUGGGCGUAAAGCGCGUGUAGGCGGCUUCGUAAGUCCGUUGUGAAAGUCCAGGGCUCAACCCUGGAAUGCCGAUGGAUACUGCGGAGCUAGAGUCCGGAAGAGGCGAGUGGAAUUCCUGGUGUAGCGGUGAAAUGCGCAGAUAUCAGGAGGAACACCAAUGGCGAAGGCAGCGCGCUGGGACGGUACUGACGCUGAGACGCGAAAGCGUGGGGAGCAAACAGG
rnacentral:rRNA from 1 species